rnacentral:tRNA from 1 species
GCGUUGUAGGUGUUGUCAGCGGCACGCUACGUUGCCAAUGUAGAGGCACGGGUGCAAAUCCCGUACGACGCUCCA